UACUAGAGUAGCACUCGCAUAUCAAUAAGCGGAGGAAAAGAAACUAACAAGGAUUCCCCUAGUAACGGCGAGUGAAGCGGGAAGAGCUCAAAUUUGAAAUCUUAAAGGGUUUCCCUUUACGAAUUGUAGUUUAAAGAAGUGUUUUCUGUUGAGGUUUUGGUAAAAGUUCUUUGGAAUAGGACAUCAUAGAGGGUGAGAAUCCCGUAUUUGACCUUUACUUUCAACUUUGUGAUACACUUUCAAAGAGUCGGAUUGUUUGGGAAUGCAGUCCAAAAUGGGUGGUAAAUUCCAUCUAAAGCUAAAUAUUGGCGAGAGACCGAUAGCGAACAAGUACCGUGAGGGAAAGAUGAAAAGAACUUUGAAAAGAGAGUUAAACAGUACGUGAAAUUGUCAAAAGGGAAGCGUUUGACACCAGUGUUGUUUUUCUGAAAAUCAAUUAAUGAACUGUUUAUGCUAAGCUGUUUAGACUUUAUCAGCUAAUCUGUUUAGUUUUGAGCUUUUCUUUAAUGCACUUUUCAGUUAACAAGUCAACAUCAAUUUCUUUUGCUGUAAAAAAGCUUGAGGAAGGUGGCUUGAGAUUCGUCUUAAGUGUUUAUAGCCUCUUGCCUAUGCAGUCGGAGAGAUUGAGGUCUGCAGCGUAGAUCCUUCGGGGCUAAAUGCAUUUGUGCUAAGUUAUAACAUUUUAUAGACAACUUGUUGACUAUGAUUUGUCUUGUAGCUUACUCGCUUAUGUUAUUUUACCUACGCUUAGGAUGUUGAUAUCGCGCUCUCACUG
rnacentral:rRNA from 1 species